GCGCUGGUAGCUCAGCUGGAUAGAGUGACUGGCUACGAACCAGUAGGUCGGGGGUUCGAGUCCCUUCCAGCGCG
rnacentral:tRNA from 1 species